CUGGACUGAAGGAUCCAGGCUGGAGACUGGACACUUUCAGGGUGGAGCCUGCUGGAGUCCGAUGGUUGAGACCAGGUCUGAGGAAGUAUUCCUGUCAACUCACAAUCGACGCAAACACAGUGAACACAAACCUCCAACUGUCUGACAACAACAGGAAGGUGACACAUGUGGA